AUUAUUAUUAUUAUUGUUAUUAUAGACAUGUACUUUAUCUUUCAGUGACUUUUUAGUGGAUGCAUUCUCCUAAAAGUGUUGCUCUAUAACUGCAUUGUUGAAAAGCAUAGUACCUGCUUGGUUUAUACUUCAGUACUUGUAUUUUAUAAUAGAUGUAGGUUAGUUGUCAUUUGGUGUUAUAUUCUUUGGUUGUGAAGCAAUAAUGUUGAAUCAUAGCAGAAAACAUUAUGUCUUUUAUUGAAAUCUAUGUGGUUAAGAAGAUUGGACACGUCAUUGAAUUGCUAGAAGGAGAAUUUAGAUUCUUAAGACAACAACAACUAAGCCUUAAUCUCAAACUAGUUGGGGCCGGCUAGAUUCCUAAGAGUGAGAAAUAAAAUGCACUUUAUGAACUUAACUAGGAAGAAGAACUUUAUGCUACUGUUGGAUUUUGUCAACUUGACUGUUAUCUAGUAUUGCAUCCACCUAUGCCUACUCAAUGAAUUCCAGCAGUUUGCUGAUAUUGACCUCUUUGAUUUAUAAUAAGUUAUGCAUUUGAUUUGGCUUUCUUUUAAUUGAACACAUCUUUGAAGUGAUACCAUAUCAAUGAAAUGUUUAUUUAUGGAUAUUUACAGUCAUAUAGGCAUGAAGCAGAAAGUAGUAUAAUUUUGUUUUAUUAGCAUGUUAUAUUGCAUUUUAAUCUAAGCAGAAAGCUGAUUCGCAUGCAGUUUCAAUUUGAAAUAUAAAUUAAUGUCCAAUUUGUUUCAUAUACAGCCAUUCUUCUUUUAGAUUGUGAAGAAAGAAUAGAGUUGGUUCUGAGGGACUCUUUGUGCUACUUUAGGUUAGCUAAGUUUAUGUUUUGAUAAUACCUUUCCAAAUUCACAGGAUAGAGAAUUGCUCAUCAGUUAGGUUUUUAGACUGCUCUUGUGAAUAGUUGGAUUAAAAACUAGUUUAAAAGGGACCCUUUCUGUUUAUGUUUUAAUCAUUUAUUCUGCUUCCUCCACCUCUGUACAUAUGAUUUAGAUCUGGGUAGUAUCUCCUUAACUUCAAGUAUUUUCCUGGGACUUCUUAGAAAUCAUGUUUCAUGAUUGUCAUUAGACAACAAUGUUGACAUGCAAAGUCAAUAGGUGUUGAUACGCUGAUUGGAUUUGCUUGAACCACUUUUGGGUGCACGAUUCUAUUUAGGGGUGGCCACGGUCCCGUUUUGAACCGGAACCGGUUCGG
rnacentral:misc_RNA from 1 species